rnacentral:rRNA from 1 species
CAGUAGCCGCGGGAAAACGAAGGGUGCAAGCGUUACUCGGAAUUACUGGGCGUAAAGCGUGCGUAGGUGGUGGUUUAAGUCCGUUGUGAAAGCCCUGGGCUCAACCUGGGAAUUGCAGUGGAUACUGGGUCACUAGAGUGUGGUAGAGGAUAGUGGAAUUUCCGGUGUAGCAGUGAAAUGCGUAGAGAUCGGAAGGAACAUCUGUGGCGAAGGCGACUAUCUGGGCCAACACUGACACUGAGGCACGAAAGCGUGGGGAGCAAACAGGAUUAGAUACCCCGGUAGUCCCUGUCUCUUAUAA